GACAUCAGUUGUUUGUCAGGUUUCUUGAGCAGAAGUUCUCCGAGAGUCUUUACCGUGAUGAUCCCUGCGCCGAGAGUGCUACUGAUGUUGGCGGUCUGUCUGGCCAUGGCCAAUGCUCUGAGUUUUUGUAUAUAUCAUGCCGAUUGUGAGCAAGAGUGUCAAGGGCAGUAUGCACCUGUCUGCUCGUUCUUCAUCUGCUCAUGUUCACCUCUGACCAAUCUUGGGGAACCUCAGAAUCUUACGAUUGUUUAAGACGGCUGGUUAGGAGCUACUUCAACACUGAACAUUUACAAAAAUUUUUACAGGUGGUAAUUGUAAUUGUUUCUGACAUUUUAAUGAAGAGAGUAAUUGCACUUAUUUGAAAUAAAAUUCUGAAUCAUCGACAUUUGA